rnacentral:tRNA from 1 species
AAGGGUGUAGCUCAGUGGUAGAGUGCAUGCCUAGCAUGCAUGAGGUCCUGGGUUCAAUCCCCAGUACCUCCA